rnacentral:rRNA from 1 species
GAUGAACGCUGGCGGCGUGCCUAAUACAUGCAAGUCGAACGCUGAAGGAGGAGCUUGCUCUUCUGGAUGAGUUGCGAACGGGUGAGUAACGCGUAGGUAACCUGCCUGGUAGCGGGGGAUAACUAUUGGAAACGAUAGCUAAUACCGCAUGACAACAGUUAUUGCAUGAUAACUGUUUAAAAGGGGCAACUGCUCCACUACCAGAUGGACCUGCGUUGUAUUAGCUAGUUGGUGAGGUAACGGCUCACCAAGGCGACGAUACAUAGCCGACCUGAGAGGGUGAUCGGCCACCAUGGGACUGGGACACGGACCAGACGACUGCGGGAGGCAGCAGUAGGGAAUCUUCGGCAAUGGACGGAAGUCUGACCGAGCAACGCCGCGUGAGUGAAGAAGGUUUUCGGAUCGUAAAGCUCUGUUGUAAGAGAAGAACGAGUGUGAGAGUGGAAAGUUCACACUGUGACGGUAUCUUACCAGAAAGCGACGGCUAACUACGUG